AACAGCCAAACCAACAUACUUUUCUUACUAGUUAGUCUUGUUACCCAUUAUGAGACUCCUAAACUUUAAUUGCUUCCUGCCUAUCGAGUAUUUAAACCCUGGUAAUUUUUCAAAAUCUACUUUGACGAGGUCAAUGUCUACGCUUCUUCCUUCUUCUACUUCAACCAUCUAAAUCUAUGGUUGGUUCCCGCUGCUCUCUUCACUUAACAAUUAAGCUGAGCUUUUGUUUUUAUCGACCUUGGAGAUACAUGGCCAGCUAAAUUACAAGAAAAGGAAAUAGACAUCCCAUGACUCUCAAGUAGUUGACACAUAUUUCUGGAGAAGGAGCUUCAGGGUUCAUUUUAGUUCAUCUUCUUGAACAGGUAUGUGUUAAGAAUAAGGUGGAAAAGGGGCUUGAUGAGAAUCGGAAGUUUUGUGCAUCCUGCAUUUUUGUUCUGUGCAUGUUCUUAUUUGCCAAGUAGCUCAGUACAUAGCAAUCAACUCUAUUCUAUAUUCCCAAGUUCAUUGUUUUAAUGUGCUUAAGGAACUACAUAUAGCAAUUAGUACGUAUAGCAAAACUUUUAAACUUCUUUAAUUUAUUAGAUGAAACUAAUUGAAAUUUUUUGUGUGAUCAAAAGGUCAGUGUAAAUAUAUAGCUAGAUAAAGCUUAAAAUAAAGUGAAAAAUGAUUAGUCACAACAUUGGAUCAAAUAACUUAAAUUCAAUAUCACUGUUAUUGAGGAUGAAACUUGCUAUAGUGGAAUCCACAUCCAUUCAAGGCCUCACUGUUCUUAAUUGUGCCACAGCCAAAUAGAGAUAUAUCCUAGCUAGCUUUCUCCCAUUUUAGUUAGAGCUAUGAAAAUUUCAGCCUUUAGUUAGGUUAGGCUUUUUCUGUCCAGUAUAACUUAUUUCACAUUGCUAUCUCAAAGUAAUCUACAUCGUAAUUUGAGGUAAGAAGACUUCUAUAAAUCUUACAUAUAUGAACUGAAAGAAGAUGAAAAAUCCAAUUUAAUCAACAAUUGUAUUGAUAAAUAAGUUGAUUGAUUAUCAACAUCUUUGGUAAACAUGACAGCUUGUGUACUCUGAACAUGAUGCAAUUUCCAUUAUAUGGGUAAUUGAUAAAGCAAAAAAAAAUUUAGAGUGCAAUAUAAUCUCAAUCUUAUAUAAGAAUGAAUGUAGCAGCUUGAAUUAAAUAUUCAUAUCAAAAUUCAUACUGGGCCAAUUAAAAUAUGCACUUAAUUGAAAUAAUGAGUACACAAAUAUUAAUGCAAAUAUUUGAUCUAAGGGCUGAUAGGCUCAUUUUUAUAUAUAUAUAAGAUCAAGUUUACACUAGCUACACCCGAAAAUUUAUUUCUAGACAAGGAGAACAUAAAUUAUAUUGACAUUUAAUAAAAUUGAAUUUUUAGCACUUAAAAAGAAAAAAAAAAAAACAUGUGUUUGGCUAAUUUAACAUCCAUUAAUUGUUAACAGUAAGGACAGGGGGUGUAUUUUUUUUUUUUAAUUCUCUUUAAACCAAAAGAGACAAGCCUUCAUUCCAUAAACUAUUAUAGGGACAAGAAAAUAACAGGAUAAAACACCUGCAAGGAGGGAAACGUUUAUAGAAAAAGCCCUUUAAUUACAAUUCCUGUAAAAAUUGAAAGGGAGGAAAUAAUAAAACCCUUGCUUUAAUGCUAACUUUGGUUGAACAUAUAUAUAAUAUUCUAAGUAGAAAAGGUUACAAUUUCCAGGCUUAGUUUCUCAUGGUCUCAUCAAUAAAAUUUUUGCUUAUAAAAAAAAAAAAAAGAAAAGG